rnacentral:rRNA from 1 species
UGGGGAAUAUUGCACAAUGGGCGAAAGCCUGAUGCAGCAACGCCGCGUGAGUGAUGAAGGCCUUCGGGUCGUAAAGCUCUGUCUUCGGGGACGAUAAUGACGGUACCCGAGGAGGAAGCCACGGCUAACUACGUGCCAGCAGCCGCGGUAAUACGUAGGUGGCAAGCGUUGUCCGGAUUUACUGGGCGUAAAGGGAGCGUAGGCGGAUACUUAAGUGGGAUGUGAAAUACCCGGGCUCAACCCGGGUGCUGCAUUCCAAACUGGGUAUCUAGAGUGUGGGAGAGGAAAGUGGAAUUCCUAGUGUAGCGGUGAAAUGCGUAGAUAUUAGGAAGAACACCAGUGGCGAAGGCGACUUUCUGGACCAUAACUGACGCUGAGGCUCGAAAGCGUGGGGAGCAAACA